rnacentral:rRNA from 1 species
ACGUAGGGUCCAAGCGUUAAUCGGAAUUACUGGGCAUAAAGCGUGGGCAGGCGGUUGUGCAAGACCGAUGUGAAAUCCCCGGGCUUAACCCGGGAAUUGCAAUUGUGACUGCAAGGCUAGAGAGUGUCAGAGGGUGGUAGAAUAUCACGUGUAGCAGUGAAAUGCGUAGAGAUGUGGAAGAAUACCGAUGGCGAAGGCAGCCAACUGGGAUAACACUGACGCUCAUGCACGAAAGUGUGGGUAGCAAACAG